GAUGAACGCUGGCGGCGUGCCUAAUACAUGCAAGUCGAGCGAAUGGAUUAAGAGCUUGCUCUUAUGAAGUUAGCGGCGGACGGGUGAGUAACACGUGGGUAACCUGCCCAUAAGACUGGGAUAACUCCGGGAAACCGGGGCUAAUACCGUAUAAUAUUUUGAACUGCAUGGUUCAAAAUUGAAAGGCGGAGUCGUCUGUCACUUAAGGAUGGCGCCGGGUCGCAUUAGCUAGUUGGUGAGGUACCGGCUCACAAAGGCAGCGAUGCGUAGCCGACAUGAGAGGGUGAUCGGCCACACUGGGACUGAGACACGGCCAAGACUCCUACGGGAGGCAGCAGUAGGGAAUCUUCCGCAAUGGACGAAAGUCUGACGGAGCAACGCCGCGUGAGUGAUGAAGGCUUUCGGGUCGUAAAACUCUGUUGUUAGGGAAGAACAAGUGCUAGUUGAAUAAGCUGGCACCUUGACGGUACCUAACCAGAAAGCCACGGCUAACUACGUGCCAGCCGCCGCCGUAA
rnacentral:rRNA from 1 species